GGUAGUCCACGCCGUAAACGAUGUCUACUUGGAGGUUGUGGCCUUGAGCCGUGGCUUUCGGAGCUAACGCGUUAAGUAGACCGCCUGGGGAGUACGGUCGCAAGAUUAAAACUCAAAUGAAUUGACGGGGGCCCGCACAAGCGGUGGAGCAUGUGGUUUAAUUCGAUGCAACGCGAAGAACCUUACCUACUCUUGACAUCCAGAGAACUUUCCAGAGAUGGAUUGGUGCCUUCGGGAACUCUGAGACAGGUGCUGCAUGGCUGUCGUCAGCUCGUGUUGUGAAAUGUUGGGUUAAGUCCCGCAACGAGCGCAACCCUUAUCCUUGUUUGCCAGCACUUCGGGUGGGAACUCCAGGGAGACUGCCGGUGAUAAACCGGAGGAAGGUGGGGACGACGUCAAGUCAUCAUGGCCCUUACGAGUAGGGCUACACACGUGCUACAAUGGCGCAUACAGAGGGCGGCCAACUUGCGAGAGUGAGCGAAUCCCAAAAAGUGCGUCGUAGUCCGGAUCGGAGUCUGCAACUCGACUCCGUGAAGUCGGAAUCGCUAGUAAUCGUGGAUCAGAAUGCCACGGUGAAUAC
rnacentral:rRNA from 1 species